rnacentral:rRNA from 1 species
AGCAGCCGCGGUAAUCCCAGCUCCAAUAGCGUAUAUUAAAGUUGUUGCAGUUAAAAAGCUCGUAGUUGAACUUCGGGGUUUACUCAUUGGUCAGGCUUAAUUGUCUGUACUGGUGAGAUGAAUCUCUACCUUCUGAGGAACUUUCAUGCCAUUUAUUUGGUGUGGUUGGAAAUCAGGACUGUUACUUUGAAAAAUUAGAGUGUUUAAAGCAGGCUAACGUCUGAAUACAUUAGCAUGGAAUAAUGAAAUAGGACGGAUUGAUUCUAUUUCGUUGGUUUCUAGGGUCACCGUAAUGAUUAAUAGGGAUAGUUGGGGGCAUUAGUAUUCAAUUGUCAGAGGUGAAAUUCUUGGAUUUAUUGAAGACUAACUACUGCGAAAGCAUUUGCCAAGGAUGUUUUCAUUAAUCAAGACGAAAGUUAGGGGAUCGAAGACGAUCAGAUACCGUCGUAGUCUUAACCAUAAACUAUGCCGACUAGGGAUCGGACGAAGUUAAUUAAUAAUGACGCGUUCGGCACCUUAC